CGCACCGUAAACUAUGAUUACUCGUUGUUGGCGAUAUGACAGUCAGCGACCAAGCGAAAGCGAUAAGUAAUCCACCUGGGGAGUACGCCGGCAACGGUGAAACUCAAAGGAAUUGACGGGGGCCCGCACAAGCGGAGGAGCAUGUGGUUUAAUUCGAUGAUACGCGAGGAACCUUACCUGGGCUUGAAAGUUAGCGACCGGUCCUGAAAGGGAUCUUCCAGCAAUGGCGCGAAACUAGGUGC
rnacentral:rRNA from 1 species